CAGUAGCCGCGGGAAAACGGAGGGUGCAAGCGUUAAUCGGAAUUACUGGGCGUAAAGCGUGCGUAGGCGGUUCGUUAAGUCUGUUGUGAAAGCCCCGGGCUCAACCUGGGAACUGCAUUUGUGACUGGCAAGCUAGAGUAUGGCAGAGGGGGGUGGAAUUCCGCGUGUAGCAGUGAAAUGCGUAGAUAUGCGGAGGAACACCGAUGGCGAAGGCAGCCCCCUGGGCCAAUACUGACGCUCAUGCACGAAAGCGUGGGGAGCAAACAGGAUUAGAUACCCCAGUAGUCCCUGUCUCUUAUAC
rnacentral:rRNA from 1 species